UGGGGCAUAUUGCACAAUGGGCGCAAGCCUGAUGCAGCCAUGCCGCGUGUAUGAAGAAGGCCUUCGGGUUGUAAAGUACUUUCAGCGAGGAGGAAGGCGUUGUGGUUAAUAACCGCAACGAUUGACGUUACUCGCAGAAGAAGCACCGGCUAACUCCGUGCCAGCAGCCGCGGUAAUACGGCGGGUGCAAGCGUUAAUCGGAAUUACUGGGCGUAAAGCGCAAGCAGGCGGUCUGUCAAGUCGGAUGUGAAAUCCCCGGGCUCAACCUGGGAACUGCAUCCGAAACUGGCAGGCUAGAGUCUUGUAGAGGGGGGUAGAAUUCCAGGUGUAGCGGUGAAAUGCGUAGAGAUCUGGAGGAAUACCGGUGGCGAAGGCGGCCCCCUGGACAAAGACUGACGCUCAGGUGCGAAAGCGUGGGGAGCAAACA
rnacentral:rRNA from 1 species